rnacentral:rRNA from 1 species
GCCUUGGUCCAUGGUCCACGGAACAAGCCCAAUGUCUGAUAUCAGAAGUUAAGCAGGGUCAGGCCUGGUUAGUAUUUGGAUGGGAGACCACCUAGGAAGACCAAGUGCUGUAAGCA